GAUGAACGCUGGCGGCGUGCCUAAUACAUGCAAGUCGAGCGAACAGAUAAGGAGCUUGCUCCUCUGACGUUAGCGGCGGACGGGUGAGUAACACGUGGAUAACCUACCUAUAAGACUGGGAUAACUUCGGGAAACCGGAGCUAAUACCGGAUAAUAUAUUGAACCGCAUGGUUCAAUAGUGAAAGGCGGUUUUGCUGUCACUUAUAGAUGGAUCCGCGCCGCAUUAGCUAGUUGGUAAGGUAACGGCUUACCAAGGCAACGAUGCGUAGCCGACCUGAGAGGGUGAUCGGCCACACUGGAACUGAGACACGGUCCAGACUCCUACGGGAGGCAGCAGUAGGGAAUCUUCCGCAAUGGGCGAAAGCCUGACGGAGCAACGCCGCGUGAGUGAUGAAGGUCUUCGGAUCGUAAAACUCUGUUAUCAGGGAAGAACAAAUGUGUAAGUAACUAUGCACGUCUUGACGGUACCUAAUCAGAAAGCCACGGCUAACUACGUG
rnacentral:rRNA from 1 species